GAAAAAAUCAAAUCUACUGCUGCAAAGAAUUCAAACAACCGAAGAAAGGUCAUUGACACGCACACUGCUGGCCGUAAAUCCUUUGCACAGAUUGGAAAUGAAAUGAAAAAGAACCAGUCGACCCCUGAUACACCUACAAAGGCGGAUAUAUAUCCUAAAACGCGCCAAGGUCAUGAUAAGAAGACUGAAAAGGACACUGAGAAGGACAAUGAAAAGGACAAUGACAAAGACACUGAGAAAGACAAUGAGGCUGAAGAAGCAGCAAAUACAAAAGAAAUA